rnacentral:rRNA from 1 species
UGCCCUACGGGGGGCUGCAGUGGGGAAUAUUGCACAAUGGGCGCAAGCCUGAUGCAGCAACGCCGCGUGAGGGACGACGGCCUUCGGGUUGUAAACCUCUUUUAGUAGGGAAGAAGCGAAAGUGACGGUACCUGCAGAAAAAGCACCGGCUAACUACGUGCCAGCAGCCGCGGUAAUACGUAGGGUGCAAGCGUUAUCCGGAAUUAUUGGGCGUAAAGAGCUCGUAGGCGGUCUGUCGCGUCUGCUGUGAAAACUGGGGGCUCAACCUCCAGCCUGCAGUGGGUACGGGCAGACUAGAGUGCGGUAGGGGAGAUUGGAAUUCCUGGUGUAGCGGUGGAAUGCGCAGAUAUCAGGAGGAACACCGAUGGCGAAGGCAGAUCUCUGGGCCGUAACUGACGCUGAGGAGCGAAAGCAUGGGGAGCGAACAGGAUUAGAUACCCGAGUAGUC